UUUUUCCUCCAGGCUUCAGUUAGGCACAGCAAGCAUCACGCCACUUGGCUCUGCAGCCCAGCAGCUUGUCCAGCCUGCAGCAGGAGCCAAGGAACGCCCAGGACACCGUCACAAGCUCCAGCCCACAAGGGUAAAACCUCUGAUAGCCUCCUGCCUAAUACUGAUUUUAUACUUUGUGAACUGCAGGAGCUCUCUCCUUUUUCUCACAGCCUCACAGAACAAAUGUGCUUCAACUGAUUCCUUGCAGCUUGGCUAGAGCAUGAUACCAUGUCCAGAAUGAGAUUGUAGCACAUGAAAUGCAGGCUUUACCUACCCCUGCAGGAGGCUAGUUCUUCUCCAUCCUUGGAAACAGCAGAAUUCCCCCAAUCUGCAUUAUAUAAAAGCUGUUUGAAUCUGAAUUUGGCACAGCUGAUGGGAUUUCUGUCUCAGUUAUUUUUCCUCUGAAUUAAGGGCAGCGAGGUAGACUUCACAAGCACAGCGUGCAUGACCCUCAGGCUCCAAUCCCUCAGCCAAUUUUGUGCUCCAUGGUAAACAGGAGUCCAAUAUUCCCCCCACAUCACCAACCAACCUCUUACAGUUCACUGCUUGCAAAGCCACUUCUCACAAGCUUGUUUCUGCUGUUAUAAUAUUUAUAACUAUAAUAUUUUAUAAUAAUAUGUUAUAAUAUUUUAUAACUACCUUCCUCUUCACCCUGCCUUUAGAGAGAUGCAGGUGCAUGCCCUUCGCCUUCAAAAGGAAAACGGGAAGCCACCACUGCAGAUAACUUCUUCACAUGCGUGCGUGGAGAAUCAGUUGCACCUUUGCAGCAAGCUUACAAAAAUAAAUCCACAGCUGCAGUGUUGGGGAACGGAGAAAGAAUGAUGAUAAAAUCUUUCAAAUAGCUUUUGCCCUGGCAGAAAGCCCAGAAAUAGCUGCAAGGACAUGCUGUCCUUUGGGAGAUUAAUGCUCCUCCAGUGCUCCCAAGCUGGACUAUAGAAAGAAAAUGUGGCUUAUUCUGAUGCAGUUUCACACAGUGCUAGUUCAUUCAUAGCCUUUUUUGGGGGGUGGGAAAUCUAUACAUUUUUGGCCAGAAGAAUACCAGUUUUCUUUAUCUUCCCAUAGACUUAGGCCUUCAGGGAAAAAAAAAAAAAACAAACACAAAACCAAACAGAAUCUCUAUUGUCCUUCCUAUAGGCAUAAUUUCCAUCUUGUGCAUACUAAUUUUUUUCUCAGUAUGGUCCAAGUAGCUUCUGGGGAUAUCCUACCUUCCUCUGUCCUGCUGUAUUCACAGCCUUGCCAUGCAGUGCUGCUCAUAAACUCUUGUUACACUUCAUUUCCAGUGCAAAGGCCAUCUUGGGUUCUUAACAUGAGCAUCCCUUGCUGGGCCAGAAGUGUUCACCUUUGCUGGCUUUCUCACUGAAAUGCUUCAGACCCCGUGAAUUAACUGAGGAAUUCAGUCCCCUGACCUAGGCAAUAUUAUUUUGGCUGCUCAGGUAUCCCAGGUAUGCAGUCUUUGUAUUAUUUUCAGUGCACUCAUGCAGUCAGAAGUGAAUGAAGUCACUGAAUAAAGGAAGCUGGCUGCACCCACAAGCUCCUGUUUCCCUAUUACAGAGAUGCAUGUUCUCCAAGUGAUGGCCAGCCACCUCUCAUUUCUCCUUCAGCUGCUCUCUUCCUCUCUUUUGCACGCACACACCCUUUUAAGGAACGGCAGGAGCGAGUUCCAGGCACAGCAGAUGCAUCAGCCUAAUUUAUAUACGGCAGAGAAUCUCCUAGUCCUGAAAUGCCUCUGCAUCUCCAUUGCAGUGUGCGGGCAGGUGGAGAAAGAGCCCUGGUCUUUACCUCCCAUUAAAGGAGAUAAAUGAUCUUGCUGGCAUGCAAACACUGCAGCUCAGGACAGACCAGCUUGGCUAUGUUACUGCUUAGCCCUGCCAACAGCUUAUUUCUUCAGAAAAAGGUGUGUGUAACUCUCUAGACAGCUGCAGAGCAACCUUCAUGCUUUUUGUGUCCCCCACCCCCACCAGUUAGUGGUUGGCUCUGUUAAUCCUAUUUAACAUAACUACAGAUAGACAUGCAAGCGUUUAAUCCCUCUCCAACCUACCAACCCUUCAGCCUGCCUUGGCUGGAGUUGCACAUUUUGAGCUGUAAGCAGACAGUAGACAGUCUGCCUUCUUUCACACUCCUCAUUUUGACUUGAAUUGAUGGGUCUUUAUGUCUCAAAAUGAGGAACUUCCUUUCGCUGUAACUUUUCUGAGUUAUUCAGGGCCCUGCUGCCAUGUAUCUGUUUUUGCAUUAACCAGUCACUUCCUGAAGCGUCCAGGAGCCUGUAAGUGCUGUAGGUGCUCAUGCUGUGUUGAUCACCAACAAGACUGAAACGUAAGGCAGUCAUGGAAAAAAACGCCAGAGGGAUGCUCAGCUGGUGUCGCAGAGCUGGGAAGGGAGCCAGCAGCCUGAUGAGCUCAGUGAGCACGCGGCGUUGGCCCAGCAGCAGUGGGACACAUCCCUGUGCCACGGCUUGCAGAUGCGGGGGAAAGAAAUGCUGUCCAGCAGGUCCAAAGGUUGCUGUGGCCUGCAGCCCGUCAGCUUCCAGCGUGGGAAACAGGUUGGAGGCCAACUAGGAAAAGCAGCCAUGGCAGCUGCCACUUCCCUAACCCCUUCUUGUCUCUUCCAUCGGGCAGAGCAAGAUUAUGGAAACAUAGAAUGGCUUGGGUUGGAAGGGACCUUAGAGAUCAUCCCAUUCCAACCUCCCUGCCAGGGAUGCCUUCCUCAAGAGCAGGUUGCUCGAAGCCCCAUCCUGUCUGGCCUCACUUACAGGGAUAGGGCGGUUGCUCCAAGGUAGCCACCUCCUGGGGUCCCAGCGCAGCUGGCAUCCUCUGGGCGUGGCUAGACAGACAGCAGGGAGUAUGAGGAGGUGCCUGGAUUCAGCUUAACACCAGGCACGUGCAACAGGCUGGAACUGUUCUUCCCUCUCCUUUGAAGACAUUCCCCUCACGGGCCACCACCUCUCCUUACCUACCCAGUAUUCAGGUGGCAUUACUCUUCUUUCCUAGGAGGUCAUACCCUGCCGGAGAGGGGGAAAGUCAAGGCUGCAACAUACUAGAUGUUUGCCCUUGCAGACGGUAUCUCUACCAGCCACCAUUCACUUCUGCUUCUUUUUCUUCCUCCCACAAAAUAAAGUUUAAUUUAUUUAAGGA